rnacentral:rRNA from 1 species
UACGGGAGGCAGCAGUGGGGAAUAUUGCACAAUGGGCGAAAGCCUGAUGCAGCUAUGCCGCGUGUAUGAAGAAGGCCUUAGGGUUGUAAAGUACUUUCAUCGGGGAGGAAAAACAAAACUAAUAAUUUUAUUUCUUGACGUUACCCGAAAAAGAAGCACCGGCUAACUCCGUGCCAGCAGCCGCGGUAAUACGGAGGGUGCUAGCGUUAAUCAGAAUUACUGGGCGUAAAGAGCACGUAGGUGGUUUUUUUAAGUCAGAUGUGAAAUCCCUGGGCUUAACCUAGGAACUGCAUUUUGAAACUGAAAUACUAGAGUAUCGUAGAGGGAGGUAGAAUUCUAGGUGUAGCGGUGAAAUGCGUAGAUAUCUGGAGGAAUACCUGUGGCGAAAGCGGCCUCCUAAACGAAUACUGACACUGAGGUGCGAAAGCGUGGGGAGGCAAACAGGGAUUAGAUACC